AUUCCAGCUCCAGUAGCGUAUAUUAUUACUGUUGUAGUUAAAAAGCUCGUAGUUGAAUAUCUGGCGUUGGGAAGCCCUGCCCGCCGCGAUUCGCGUGUGAGUUGUGGGGCGUCCCCGCCAUCCUGUGUGGGAGCCCGCCUACCCUUCAUUGGGCCGGGCGGUGCGAGCACACUCAGUUACUUUGAGAAAAUCUGCGCGUUCAAAGCAGGCACACGCUAUGAAAGCUUCAGCAUGGAAUAACAAGAUAGGACCUGGGUCUCUAUUUUGUUGGUUUCUAGGAUCGAGGUGAUGAUUGAUAGGGACAGUUGGGGGUGCUUGUAUUUAACGGCCAGAGGUGAAAUUCUUGGAUUCGUUAAAGACAAACUACUGCGAAAGCAUUCACCAAGGAUGUCUUCAUUA
rnacentral:rRNA from 1 species